CCUUCACCAUGCAAGAGUAACUAAGAGUUUUUUCCUUUCAUCCUUUAUAAUGGGUCCCUAAAUCCCGUCAGACUCUGGCCCCCUUAUACAUUUCUGUGAUGUCACACGGCUACAGGCUCAAAGGAGAUGCCAGUGGAGAAAUCUUCCUGCCUAAGGGGAAAUCCUGAAAGGCUGGGUCUGCUUAAGGUGCCUUAGUCAUGCUCACCAAUGACAUUAUCACUGCAAAAGAGGCUUGUUUUUACUGGCACCUGUGCUGCUGGGAUUGUGUUUCAGCAUGGGAGGAACAGGCUGUAGUGCAAGAACCCUUCAGAAGGUCCCACAUGAGUUCCUGGUAUGACAAAACUAACCUCAAGCCAUGAGCCCUGUGUUCCCCUGCCAAAGAGGAGUGAGAGGGCUCUUUCCAGCCCCUGAAUGCUCCUGGGACAUCCAUGAUCUACCCUGCAGCUGGCCUGGGUCUGCCUCUUCUUCCUGUGUGUUGCUCCUGCCCGUGGUGCUCACCUACACCAGCAUAUGGAUUUGGCAGGUGUAAACAGUUCCCAGGUUUAUCACCUCUGGUUUCUGGAAAUGGACAUUCAUUUUGGGAAACAAGUGGAAGAGCAGCAUUCUGCCAGGACUGGACUCUAAAUGCUGCUGAACUGGAAUUCAGUUGUCCUGUGUUGCUCAGCAAGUGUGAACAGACCACUCCUGAAAGACAUACCACUCCUCUGAAGCAGACUGUCCUUGUACCUCAGAAAAUGGAGACAUUAAUUCACAAAUUAGUGUGGCAUUACUAA
ensembl:lncRNA